rnacentral:rRNA from 1 species
GACGAACGCUGGCGGCGUGCUUAACACAUGCAAGUCGAACGGAAAGGCCCUGCUUUUGUGGGGUGCUCGAGUGGCGAACGGGUGAGUAACACGUGAGUAACCUGCCCUUGACUUUGGGAUAACUUCAGGAAACUGGGGCUAAUACCGGAUAGGAGCUCCUGCUGCAUGGUGGGGGUUGGAAAGUUUCGGCGGUUGGGGAUGGACUCGCGGCUUAUCAGCUUGUUGGUGGGGUAGUGGCUUACCAAGGCUUUGACGGGUAGCCGGCCUGAGAGGGUGACCGGCCACAUUGGGACUGAGAUACGGCCCAGACUCCUACGGGAGGCAGCAGUGGGCAAUAUUGCACAAUGGGCGGAAGCCUGAUGCAGCAACGCCGCGUGCGGGAUGACGGCCUUCGGGUUGUAAACCGCUUUCGCCUGUGACGAAGCGUGAGUGACGGUAAUGGGUAAAGAAGCACCAGCUAACUACGUG